rnacentral:rRNA from 1 species
GACGGGGGGGGCAAGCGUUGUUCGGAAUUAUUGGGCGUAAAGGGCUCGUAGCGGAUCCGCCAGUUUGACGUGAAAUCUCCACCGCUCACCGGGGAGAGGUCGUUGAAUACUACGGAUCUGGAGUUCGGCAGAGGACCAUGGAAUUUCGGGUGUAGCGGUGGAAUGCGUAGAUAUCGGAAAGAACACCAACGGCGAAAGCACUCUGCUGGGCCGACACUGACACUGAGAGACGAAAGCUAGGGGAGCGAAUGGG